AUUGAACGCUGGCGGCGUGCUUAACACAUGCAAGUCGAUCGGUAACAGGUGUAGCAAUACAUGCUGACGAGAGGCGGACGGGUGAGUAAUGCUUGGGAAUCUGCCUAUUAGUGGGGGACAACCCGGGGAAACUCGGGCUAAUACCGCAUACGCUCUACGGAGGAAAGCCGGGGACCGCAAGGCCUGGCGCUAAUAGAUGAGCCCAAGUCGGAUUAGCUAGUUGGUAGGGUAACGGCCUACCAAGGCGACAAUCCGUAGCUGGUCUGAGAGGACGACCAGCCACACCGGAACUGAGACACGGUCCGGACUCCUACGGGAGGCAGCAGUGGGGAAUAUUGGACAAUGGGGGCAACCCUGAUCCAGCGACGCCGCGUGGGUGAAGAAGGCCUGCGGGUUGUAAAGCCCUUUCGGUGGGAAGAAAAGCUCGACUAAUACGUCGGGACCUUGACCGUAACCCACUAAAGAAGCACCGGCUAACUCUGUGCC
rnacentral:rRNA from 1 species